UACAGAGACUGCAAGCGUUAUUCGGAUUCACUGGGCGUAAAGGGUGCGCAGGCGGCCAAGUGUGUCAGGUGUGAAAUCCCGAGGCUUAACCUCGGAACUGCGCCUGAAACUACUUGGCUAGAGUACUGGAGAGGGUAACGGAAUUCACGGUGUAGCAGUGAAAUGCGUAGACAUCGUGAGGAACACCAGAGGCGAAGGCGGUUACCUGGACAGUUCCUGACACUGAGACACGAAGGCCAGGGGAGCAAACGGG
rnacentral:rRNA from 1 species